UACGGAGGAUGCGAGCGUUAUCCGGAUUUAUUGGGUUUAAAGGGUGCGUAGGCGGAGUGCCAAGCCAGCGGUAAAAAUUCGGGGCUCAACCCCGUCGUGCCGUUGAAACUGGCGCCCUUGAGUGGGCGAGAAGUAUGCGGAAUGCGUGGUGUAGCGGUGAAAUGCAUAGAUAUCACGCAGAACCCCGAUUGCGAAGGCAGCAUACCGGCGCCCGACUGACGCUGAAGCACGAAAGCGUGGGUAUCGAACAGG
rnacentral:rRNA from 1 species